AUCCCGACUUACCAACCCGAUGCAAACUGCGAAUACCGGAGAAUGUUAUCACGGGAGACACACGGCGGGUGCUAACGUCCGUCGUGAAGAGGGAAACAACCCAGACCGCCAGCUAAGGUCCCAAAGUCAUGGUUAAGUGGGAAACGAUGUGGGAAGGCCCAGACAGCCAGGAUGUUGGCUUAGAAGCAGCCAUCAUUUAAAGAAAGCGUAAUAGCUCACUGGUCGAGUCGGCCUGCGCGGAAGAUGUAACGGGGCUAAACCAUGCACCGAAGCUGCGGCAGCGAUGCUUAUGCGUUGUUGGGUAGGGGAGCGUUCUGUAAGCCUGCGAAGGUGUGCUGUGAGGCAUGCUGGAGGUAUCAGAAGUGCGAAUGCUGACAUAAGUAACGAUAAAGCGGGUGAAAAGCCCGCUCGCCGGAAGACCAAGGGUUCCUGUCCAACGUUAAUCGGGGCAGGGUGAGUCGACCCCUAAGGCGAGGCCGAAAGGCGUAGUCGAUGGGAAACAGGUUAAUAUUCCUGUACUUGGUGUUACUGCGAAGGGGGGACGGAGAAGGCUAUGUUGGCCGGGCGACGGUUGUCCCGGUUUAAGCGUGUAGGCUGGUUUUCCAGGCAAAUCCGGAAAAUCAAGGCUGAGGCGUGAUGACGAGGCACUACGGUGCUGAAGCAACAAAUGCCCUGCUUCCAGGAAAAGCCUCUAAGCAUCAGGUAACAUCAAAUCGUACCCCAAACCGACACAGGUGGUCAGGUAGAGAAUACCAAGGCGCUUGAGAGAACUCGGGUGAAGGAACUAGGCAAAAUGGUGCCGUAACUUCGGGAGAAGGCACGCUGAUAUGUAGGUGAAGUCCCUUGCGGAUGGAGCUGAAAUCAGUCGAAGAUACCAGCUGGCUGCAACUGUUUAUUAAAAACACAGCACUGUGCAAACACGAAAGUGGACGUAUACGGUGUGACGCCUGCCCGGUGCCGGAAGGUUAAUUGAUGGGGUCAGCGCAAGCGAAGCUCUUGAUCGAAGCCCCGGUAAACGGCGGCCGUAACUAUAACGGUCCUAAGGUAGCGAAAUUCCUUGUCGGGUAAGUUCCGACCUGCACGAAUGGCGUAAUGAUGGCCAGGCUGUCUCCACCCGAGACUCAGUGAAAUUGAACUCGCUGUGAAGAUGCAGUGUACCCGCGGCAAGACGGAAAGACCCCGUGAACCUUUACUAUAGCUUGACACUGAACAUUGAGCCUUGAUGUGUAGGAUAGGUGGGAGGCUUUGAAGUGUGGACGCCAGUCUGCAUGGAGCCGGCCUUGAAAUACCACCCUUUAAUGUUUGAUGUUCUAACGUGGACCCGUGAUCCGGGUUGCGGACAGUGUCUGGUGGGUAGUUUGACUGGGGCGGUCUCCUCCUAAAGAGUAACGGAGGAGCACGAAGGUUGGCUAAUCCUGGUCGGACAUCAGGAGGUUAGUGCAAUGGCAUAAGCCAGCUUGACUGCGAGCGUGACGGCGCGAGCAGGUGCGAAAGCAGGUCAUAGUGAUCCGGUGGUUCUGAAUGGAAGGGCCAUCGCUCAACGGAUAAAAGGUACUCCGGGGAUAACAGGCUGAUACCGCCCAAGAGUUCAUAUCGACGGCGGUGUUUGGCACCUCGAUGUCGGCUCAUCACAUCCUGGGGCUGAAGUAGGUCCCAAGGGUAUGGCUGUUCGCCAUUUAAAGUGGUACGCGAGCUGGGUUUAGAACGUCGUGAGACAGUUCGGUCCCUAUCUGCCGUGGGCGCUGGAGAACUGAGGGGGGCUGCUCCUAGUACGAGAGGACCGGAGUGGACGCAUCACUGGUGUUCGGGUUGUCAUGCCAAUGGCACUGCCCGGUAGCUAAAUGCGGAAGAGAUAAGUGCUGAAAGCAUCUAAGCACGAAACUUGCCCCGAGAUGAGUUCUCCCUGACCCUUUAAGGGUCCUGAAGGAACGUUGAAGACGACGACGUUGAUAGGCCGGGUGUGUAAGCGCAGCGAUGCGUUGAGCUAACCGGUACUAAUGAACCGUGAGG
rnacentral:rRNA from 1 species